AACGAACGCUGGCGGCAGGCCUAACACAUGCAAGUCGAACGCCCUAGCAAUAGGGAGUGGCAGACGGGUGAGUAACACGUGGGAACCUUCCCUAUAGUACGGAAUAGCCCAGGGAAACUUGGAGUAAUACCGUAUACGCCCGAGAGGGGAAAGAUUUAUCGCUAUAGGAUGGGCCCGCGUUGGAUUAGCUAGUUGGUGAGGUAACGGCUCACCAAGGCGACGAUCCAUAGCUGGUCUGAGAGGAUGAUCAGCCACACUGGGACUGAGACACGGCCCAGACUCCUACGGGAGGCAGCAGUGGGGAAUAUUGGACAAUGGGCGCAAGCCUGAUCCAGCCAUGCCGCGUGAGUGACGAAGGCCUUAGGGUUGUAAAGCUCUUUUGGCGGGACGAUAAUGACGGUACCGCAGAAUAAG
rnacentral:rRNA from 1 species